rnacentral:rRNA from 1 species
UACGUAGGGUGCAAGCGUUGUCCGGAAUUAUUGGGCGUAAAGAGCUCGUAGGCGGUUUGUUGCGUCGGCUGUGAAAUCCCGAGGCUCAACCUCGGGUCUGCAGUCGAUACGAGCAAACUAGAGUGCUGCAGGGGAGACUGGAAUUCCUGGUGUAGCGGUGGAAUGCGCAGAUAUCAGGAGGAACACCGGUGGCGAAGGCGGGUCUCUGGGCAAGUAACUGACGCUGGAGGAGCGAAAGCGUGGGGAGCGAAACAGG